rnacentral:rRNA from 1 species
GAUGAACGCUAGCGGCAGGCUUAAUACAUGCAAGUCGAGGGGCAGCAGGACUGUAGCAAUACAGUUGCUGGCGACCGGCAAACGGGUGCGGAACACGUACGCAACCUACCCAAAACUGGGGGAUAGCCCGGGGAAACCCGGAUUAAUACCUCGUAACCUUUUUAAGUGGCAUCACUUGAUAAGUAUAGCUCCGGCGGUUUUGGAUGGGCGUGCGCCUGAUUAGGUAGUUGGUGCGGGUAACGGCCCACCAAGCCUGCGAUCAGUAACUGGUGUGAGAGCACGACCAGUCACACGGGCACUGAGACACGGGCCCGACUCCUACGGGAGGCAGCAGUAAGGAAUAUUGGUCAAUGGACGCAAGUCUGAACCAGCCAUGCCGCGUGAAGGAUGAAGGUCCUCUGGAUUGUAAACUUCUUUUAUGGGGGACGAAGCCCGGAUAUUCUUAUCCGAUUGACGGUACCUCAGGAAUAAGCACCGGCUAACUCCGUG